GGUCCUGACCCCUGAGUUCAUACCUUCACAAACACCCCUUAGGCUCGCCACUCAUUGCUUUCCUUGCCAUUAAAAAAAAUUCCCACGGUGCAAUUAGAGACACUUGGCUCCCCGUAGUUCUGGUUUCCUUCUGAGCCUCUCAAAGCCCAAGGAGCUGAAGACUCUGGGCCAAGGUCACCCAGAGGAGGCCCUUUGAUUAGCAGAGGUCAGCUCCAGAGAGAGGAGGACACAGGAUGCAGCAGCAGAGACUGAGAUGAGAACCUUUCCUUCUGUGGAUAAAGGCCUCCACAUUCCACUGGGGAGCUAGCCAUCAGCAAUGCUGGUAAAACAACUCUCUAAGCCCUUCCUAGGUCUUCUGAGAGCCUGAGUUCAUUUGGUGAGCCUUGAGGGUGGAGAUUCAUUCCCAUUUCCAGCAGGUAGCACAGUACUAGCCUCAGUGUAGAUGAGGGUUUAACUGGGGGGGGUGGUAAAUUUUGGUUUUAGGAUUACCCUUUAAAGAAGAGCUCCACACGGCGCAGCCUGGAAGCCUUGAGUUCAAGUUCCUUCUGCUGAUUAGGUGCUGUGUGGCCUUGGGUGAGAUCCCUUCUCUGGGCCUCACCUUGCC
rnacentral:lncRNA from 1 species